rnacentral:misc_RNA from 1 species
GAUGAAGAACGUAGCGAAAUGCGAUAAGUAAUGUGAAUUGCAGAAUUCAGUGAAUCAUCGAAUCUUUGAACGCACCUUGCGCUCCUUGGUAUUCCGAGGAGCAUGCCUGUUUGAGUGUCAUGAAACUCUCAAACCCAAGUUUUGGAUUUCGGUCCACGCUUGAGUUUGGAUUUGGAUGUUUGCCGGUGAUGAACCGACUCAUCUUAAAAGUAUUAGCUAGAUCUGUCUCUAUGACUGGUUUGACUUGGCAUAAUAAGUAUUUUGCUGAGGACAUCUUUCGGGAUGGCCAGGACCUAGACUAUUGUCUGCUGACUAAACCAUCACUUUAAGUGCAUCUUUGGAUGUUACUCAUUGUGUAACUUUGACAUCUGGCCUCAAAUCAGGUAGGACUACCCGCUGAACUUAAGCAUAUCAAUAAGCGGAGGA